AAUCCUGCAACAAGAAGCCAGGUAUUCUGAAGGUGAAAGAUACCAGAGAUUCUCAAAGAUGCGAGUUUUUUGUGUGGGACUACUCCUUUUCAGUGUGACCUGGGCAGCACCAACAUUUCAACCACAGACUGAGAAAACUAAGCAAAGCUGUGUGGAAGAGCAGAGGAUAACAUACAAGGGUCACCAUGAGAAACAUGGGCAUUACGUUUUUAAGUGUGUUUACAUGUCACCUGGGAAGAAAAAUCAAACUGAUGUAAAGGCUCCUCAAGCCUCUCUACUACAAAACUCAGGGUCCCAGAAUCUUCCUGAUCCCCGUUCCAUGCCUUGGCCCACAUCUCGCUCUGCUUCAGGACCUGUGGCUGCAGCAGGAAGAAAAAAACAAAGACAAUACUGGUUUUCACCAUUUGGGAAAGAGAAUAAAUCAAGAGCUAUCACCUAAAGAAAAUAUUGUCCAGGAAAGAAAGAAAGAUUUGUCCCUUUCUGAAGCCAGUGAGAAUAAGGGAAGUAGUAAAUCUCAAAAUUAUUUCACAAAUAGACAGAGACUGAAUAAAGAAUAUAGUAUCAGUAACAAAGAGAAUACUCACAAUGGCCUGAGGAUGUCAAUUUAUACUAAGUCAACUGGGAAUAAAGGGUUUGAGGAUGGAGAUGAUGCUAUCAGCAAACUACAUGACCAAGAAGAAUAUGGCGCAGCUCUCAUCAGAAAUAACAUGCAACAUAUAAUGGGGCCAGUGACUGCGAUUAAACUCCUGGAGGAAGAAAACAAAGAGAACACACCUAGGAAUGUUCUAAACAAAAUUCCAGCAAGUAUGAAUUAUGCUAAAGCACACUCGAAGGAUAAAAAGAAGCCUCAAAGAGAUUCCCAAGCCCAGAAAAGUCCAGUAAAAAGCAAAAGCACCCAUCGUAUUCAACACAACAUUGACUACCUAAAACAUCUCUCAAAAGUCAAAAAAAUCCCCAGUGAUUUUGAAGGCAGUGGUUAUACAGAUCUUCAAGAGAGAGGGGACAAUGAUAUAUCUCCUUUCAGUGGGGAUGGCCAACCUUUUAAGGACAUUCCUGGUAAAGGAGAAGCUACUGGUCCUGACCUAGAAGGCAAAGAUAUUCAAACAGGGUUUGCAGGCCCAAGUGAAGCUGAGAGCACUCAUCUUGACACAAAAAAGCCAGGUUAUAAUGAGAUCCGAAAGAGAGAAGAAAAUGGUGGAAAUACCAUUGGAACUAGGGAUGAAACUGUGAAAGAGGCAGAUGCUGUUGAUGUCAGCCUUGUAGAGGGCAGCAACAAUAUCAUGGGUAGUACCAAUUUUAAGGAGCUGCCUGGAAGAGAAGGAAACAGAGUGGAUGCUGGCAGCCAAAAUGCUCACCAAGGGAAGGUUGAGUUUCAUUACCCUCCUGCACCCUCAAAAGAGAAAAGAAAAGAAGGCAGUAGUGAUGCAACUGAAAGUACCAACUAUAAUGAAAUUCCUAGAAAUGGCAAAGGCAGUACCAGGAAGGUUGUAGAUCAUUCUAAUAGGAACCAAGCAACCUUAAAUGAAAAACAAAGGUUUCCUAGUAAGGGCAAAAGUCAGGGCCUGCCCAUUCCUUCUCGUGGUCUUGAUAAUGAAAUCAAAACGGAAAUGGAUUCCUUUAAUGGCCCCAGUCAUGAGAAUAUAAUAACACACAGCAGAAAAUAUCAUUAUGUACCCCAUAGACAAAAUAAUUCUACAAGGAAUAAGGGUAUGCCACACGGGAAAGGCUCCUGGGGUAGACAAUCCCAUUCCAACAGGAGGUUUAGUUCCCGUAGAAGGGAUGACAGUAGUGAGUCAUCUGACAGUGGCAGUUCAAGUGAGAGCGAUGGUGACUAGUCCACCAGGAGCUCCCAGCGGGGUGACGGUCUGAAGACCUCAUCACCUGUGAGUUGAUAUAGAGGAGAGCCACCUGACAGCUGACCAGGUGAAGAGAGGAUAGAGUGAAGAACUGAGUGAGCCAAGAAUCCUGGUCUCCAUGGGGGAAUUUUUGCUAUCUUAAUAGUCACAGUAUAAAAUUCUAUUAAAGCUAUAAUGUUUUUAAGCAAAAAAAAUCAUUACAGAUUUAUGAAAUAGGUAACAUUUGAGUAGGUGUCAUUUAAAAAUAGUUGGUGAAUGUCACAAAUGCCUUCUAUGUUGUUUGCUCUGUAGACAUGAAAAUAAACAAUAUCUCUCGAUG
rnacentral:sRNA from 1 species